rnacentral:lncRNA from 1 species
UCCCUUCAAAAUUUUGAUUUUAUUAUGCAAGCCUUUCAAUUUGUUUGAUUUGAGUUAGUUAACACCACUUUGACUUUAAAAAUUAAGUUAGUUGUUUACUUUAAUAAAUUUAUUUUUACGAGAAUUGUAUAAAAUAUACUAAUCUAAACCUUUAUAAAGAUAAACUUUAACAUUUGGAGUCAAAGCGUCAUGUCACAUUCUGGAUUACGGCAGAAGUCCGAAUAACGUCAAUAGACCUACUGCAUGCACAAGGAUACAUCUUAUACAUACGAAGCAUCAAUAAAAUCAGUUUAAAACAGUUUACUCAAAUCCAACAACAUUAAGUAUUAGAGUAGAAUAAAAACUAUAUAUUAUAGUAAUACUGUAGAUAUACAAUCAUCAGCAUAUCAAUCCUUAAAAUGGUACAAUAUCUCUGGUCGCUCUAAAUCUUAAAACACUAUACAUGCUCCUAUAUAACCAACUACACAAACAAAAAGAUAGAAAAUGCUAACUAUCUGCGAUCCCUUACCUCAAUCAGUCACUAGUGUUGAAGGUUUUGAAAUAAAAUAUUAAUAAAAAAGGUAUGAGAACUAUAAUCAAUACUCCCCAAUGGUAUGAUCAACAAUGCCGACGGUCUAUAUCAUUAGAUUCAUAAGAGACAAAAAUAGUAAAUAACUGAGCGGUAUAAAUGAACAAAUAGUAAUAUGAAUAACUAUUGAAAAUAAUUAUUGCUAUCAUAUCUCUAUAAUAUAACUGAAAACUGUAACUCAUAUAUUUCAUGCAUCAAUUAGAUAAUGAAUAAAAUACUGCAAUAAUAUCUAAUCACAGUGACCGACUAAAUAGUCAGAUCUAGCAUGUGCUGUCUCAUGUUCAGCACCCAACUAUAGUGAUCCGCUGCCAUACACGCUACUGUCUGCCCUAUGUCAUAAUAAUAUCUCAUAAUUUAACUUCUGGAGUGGCAUUUGUUGGGCGUUAUCCCAAUCGAGUAUAGUAUCACUGUCAAGUUCAAAAUAGAAUGCAGACUGCAGUUAAAUGCGAUAAUUAAACAGAUUAUAAUAAUACUGUUAUAAUGUCUCAAAUACAGUUGUGAUCUCAUACUAUGUGUUGCUGUCUAUUGUCUCCAAGACAAUAUUACAUAAUACUAACAGUGAAAAAUAUACAUGUCUCAAUAUAUUCUAUAAGUAGGUAUCAAAAUAUCACUAUUAUCUCAAAUCUCAACUAUGUCUAUAAUUUAUUUUAUAUGCUAAAUAAUAUAACAUGGAUAUAAGAGUUAGUCCGCCAAUUUUGACGACACGGAGCCCAACUUUAUCGCAAAUCUAAAGAAUAAAAUGAUAGUCAAAAAAGCGAAAUGAUCCACUAUUGCCCUUCUAGCUAGUCUGAACAGCAACCACAACACCUCAGAGUGGCUCGAAAAGUUUCUCGUCAAAGUCACGCGGAAUCAGCUCCUAAAACAUAUAAAAAAUCAGUUUCUAAUUAUCAAUUUUUACAAAAAAUUAUAAAAACUCUAAAUAAAUAAUAAUAAUAUUAUAAUACUAACUCCGAUAUCGAAAUUCUAUAAAAAAUAAGUGCGCGUGCUCCACUCGCUAGCUGCAAAAGGAAACCAAACAUGCUUGUUUUGUUUUUUUUUUUUUUUUUUUGGCAGCAUAUUCGACCGAAUAAUGUUCAAAGUACGUAAGACUGUCGAGCUUUGAAAUAAUGGUUACAGCAACCUCGUCUUUCUCGAGCUUUUAGUGAUAUUUAUUUUAGUUUGCCAAAUUCUAAUUUCUUUCCAAUCAAUCAUUAAAUUUCAACUUUCUGUUUAAUUAGGUACAACGAAUAUAAAUUUCAAUAUUUUUUUAUGAUGAAUUAAAGAUUACAAACCUAAUUCUCAUGCUAAAAUCAAUAAUAAAUAAUAAAUAAAUAAUAAUAAUAUUAAUUAAUUAUUUGAUUGUUAUUAUUCUCUCAAAAUUAUAUUAUUUAGUAUUAUAUAUUCGAAAAGAUGAUUUAAUAAACGAUCAAAAUCAAAUCAUCUCCGCGUUAUAAAUUAACAUCAUCAACUAUAAACUAUGAGACCGUAACUUAAUUAACUAUUUAGUUAUUUUUAUUAAAAAAUAUAAAAUUUUAACAAAAGUAACUGAUUAAAUAGAAAUUAAAGUUAAAUGGCUAAUGAAAAUAAAUUGAUAAACAUGACCUAAAUAAAUUUACUAAAAGCUUAAAUGUAUAAUUCAAUAACAAUAAUAGAUCUUCAUGUAACGUAAAGCAUUUUUUUUUUUCCAUUUACAAACGAUAUUUUGGCUAAAUUAUACUUUUGGUCCUCAAACAAUGAGAUUGUGACAUUUGGGCUCUCAAACUUUACAUUAUUAUAAUUAGUUUUUGAACUUUUUGAAUAGUGCAUCAAAUUAUAAAAUUCAAUUUAUUGCUAAACAUUAAUAUGUAACAAAUAUAAAGAGAUAUGAUAGUAUAUAUUAGUAUGAUGACACAUAAUAAUUAAAUGUUAUGUUACUUCAUAUCAACGUUAAAUUUAGUCAACUAAUUUGAUCGUAAAACUUACUUUUAUAAUAAUAUAAAACUUUAAGUUAAAAAUAUAAUAAAUUAAAGUAAUAAUAUAAGAAAACUUGCCUCAACUAUGGAUCAUAUUAUCAAUUUAAAUUUAAAUUUUUAAAAUUUAUAAUUUUUAAAUUUAAAUUUAUAAUUUAAAAUUAUAAAUUUUAAAGUUUAAUUUUUUAAUUUGAUAUUUUUAAUUUUUAAAUUUUAAAUUUGUUAUUUUUACUUUUUAAAUUUUAAAUUUGCUAUUUUAUAUCUUUGAAAUUUAAAUUUGGUCUUUUAAUUUUAAAAUUUGAUAUUUAAAAUUAAAAUUUUGAAAAAUUAAACAUUUUAAUUUUAAUUUCAAAUUUUAAAAUUUAAAAGUUAAAAUUUUCAAUUUUCAUUUUAAAAUGAUAAGUUUAAAAUUUAAAAAUUUAAAUUCAAUUAUAGGGGUAAUAUUAUUAUAUUUUGCUAUUUAUAACAACAACUAUCCUCUUAUUCCCAAUAACAUCCAAACAUAAUUUUUCUAGUUCCAUGGCUUAUACUCAUAUUUUCAAUCCAAAUAAAAAAUACUCUUAUCCUUAUAUAUAAAUCGGCAUACUUGUUACCUUCUCCGUAUACUACUAGUUCCUACUAAUUUCCGAGCCAAACGACAGGCUAAGAGACCACUAUCACCUAACCCUAUAAAUUUUUAUCGAACGGAUUAACAAUCAAUAGCAAAAGAGUAACACCACAAUAUGGUAACCCUGCUUGGUGUAUCUUGUUUUUUUUUUUUUUUUUUUUUUUUCUGAUUUGUAAAUUAGAUUCUUGUCUAAUACUGAUUGUGCUAACAGUUGGAAUCUUUUGUAAAAGAAAUUUUGUAUUUGACCUGACACUUUUUUUUACUUUUAGCAUAAUCAAAAUUAUGUUUGGAAUCCCUACAAACCUUGUCAAAAAAAAAAGAGAAAAAAUUAUUAAUAGGACUUAUAUAUUUACGCUUAGUAUUUUUGGUAAAAUAUACAAAAUUUAUCUGAACUGUAGAUCAUUUUACGUUGACUAUUCAUUAUUUGAAAAUUUUAAAUUUAGUAAUUUGAGUUAAUAAAUGAUACUUUGGCUACAAAAUAUUUGAAUGCUUUGUUUAUCUUUACAUAUUUAGUCAAUUAUAAUUUGAAUGCUUUGUUUUAUUUUCAGCAUAACCAAAUUUUAAAUAUACUAAUUCUAAAAGUAAGUAGUUAGCUUAAAAUUUAAAAUCAAAUAAAUAGGACAAUUAAAUAGUAAAAUUAAAAUUUUAAAAACUUAAGUAGCUGAUUUAAAAUAAUUUAUAAUUCAGAUUAAUUUUUUUAUUUUUUUUUUAUUUUUGUCUAAUUUAGAUGAAUGAAUGCGUUGGCAGAAGCAUGUCCUUAUUUAUUUUAGUGCAAACUUGUCUUCUUCGAAGAGACAAAUAAGGAGAAAAAGUUAACACAUCUUAUUCUUGGGAAAACUUCAACAACCCCCCAUGUGAUUUCGUCGUUUCUCACUUUGCUCCCUUGUGGUUUAAAAUGUAUUAAUUUGCUUCCCUGUGGUUUCGUUUUUAUCUUUUCGGUAGCUUUUUCGUUAAUAUUUCAUUAAAUUAUAUAUAAAAAACUUUAGAUAUCCAUCUAGAUUUAUUAAAUAUUCACUUUAGUACUCUUUAAUUUUAACUUUAUCACUGAUUUAAGAAAAAAAAAUAAUGAAAUUGAUAAAAAAAAGAGAAAAAAGAAACCACAGAAUGGCAAAUUGAUAUAUUUUAAACCACAGGAGGGCGAAGUAAGAAGCUAUAAAACAACAGGGGGGGUUUUUGAAGUUUUUUCUAUUCUCUUUAUUGUCAAACAAAUUUCGUGGAUAUAAUAGGACGGAAAAAACAAUUAUUUGAGCCCAUUGGGCACGCCCCUUAAGGCCUCUUAUUAUAGUAUUUUUAUUUUCUAAUAGUAAAAGUAUAAAUAAAAAAAUUGAAAAAAAAGAUAAAAAUAUAAAAAGACCUUAUAUUAUGUUAUAAUGGUUGCAAAAAAGACUUUUUGUGGUACAGAUUUUUUGAAAUAUUUGAUCGACAAAAUUUGUAGAGAUUCAUAUGUGUAAAGAUAAAUUGUAUCACUAGUCUGUUGGCUUAAAAAAGUCAGCAUCCCACUGGCUAAGGGCUUGGUGGUUGGUAUCCGAGACCCAAGUUCGAAUCAUAAUAGAUUCAUAUUUACAGCUAAGUUUAUUUCUAAAUGAAAUAAACGAAACGGAUAGCGUGCUACCUAUCUCUCAAAAAAAAAAAAAAAAAAGGUCAGCAUCCCACUCAUGCGGCGGGAGGCCAAGGUGUGUCGAGUCACAUUCAAAAUAGCGUGAGACUGGAUUGGGCAGAGUCAUAUUUGAAAUGGUGUGAGGCUGGUUGAGUCAAAUUACAAUUGAGACUCGUGGGUAUUAUAUUUAUACGCUUUAAGAGAAUUGAUUGUGUAUUUUUAACAAAUCGAACUUUUGGGAUUAAUGGUUAACGCCAAUGGUCCGAAAGUGAUAUCAGAGCCAGAGGUUAUGGGUUUAAUUCUCGCAUUCUGUAAAUUUGUGCAAAUGCUUGAGGAAGAAUUAUUUGCUUAAAAAAGUUAAUAUCCCGCUCUACGACGGGAGGUUGGGUUGGGCUGAGUCAUAUUCGAAAUGGCAUGAGGCCGAUAUCUUGCCCUGCAACAGGAGGCUGAUUUAGACGGAAUAAUGUUCAAAGUAGCGUAAGACUGGUCGAGCUUUUGAAAUUAAUGGUUAGCAGCAACUUGUCUUUCUCGAGCUUUUAGUGAUAUUUUAUUUUAGUUACCAAAUUCUAAUUUCUUUCAAUCAAAUCAUUAAAUUUCACUUUCUGUUUUAAUUAGGUCAACGAAUAUAAAUUUCAAUAUUUUUUUUUAUGAUGAAGUAAAGAUUACAAACCUAAUUCUAAUGCCAGGAAAAUAAUAAUAAUAAUAAUAAUAAUUAAUUAUUAGUUUGAUUAUUAUAUUCUCUCAAAAUUAUUAUUAUUUAGGUAUUAUAUUAUUUCGAAAAGAUGAUUUAAUAACUGAUAAAACAGUCAAAUCAUCUCCGCGUUAUAAAUUAACAAUCAUGUCAUCUAUAAACUAUGAGACACUAACUUAAUUAACUAUUUUUAUGUUAUUUUAUUUAAAAAAUGAUAAAAAUUUAACAGAGUAACUUGAUUAAAAUAGAAAUUAAGUUUAAAUGGCUAAUGAAAAUAAAUUGAUAAUCAGUGACCUAAAUAGAAUUUUACUAAAAGCUUAAAUGUAUACUUCAAUAACAAAUAAUAGAUCUUUCACGGUAACUUAAAGCAUUUUUUUUUCCAUUUUACAAACGAUAUUUUUGGCUAAAUUGUACUUUUGGUCCUCAAACAAUGAGAUGUGUGACAUUUGGGCUCUCAAACUUUAAUUUAUUAUAAUUUUAGUUUUGAACUUUUUGAAUAGUUGCAGUCAAAUUAUAAAAUUCAAUUCAAUUUAGUUGACUAAACAUUAAUAUGUAACAAAUAUAAAGAUGAUAUGAUAGUAUAUAUUAUGAUUGAUGACACGAUAAUAAUUAAAAUGUUACGUUACUUUCAUAUCAGCGAACGUUAAAAUUUAGUUAACUAAAUUUGAUCGUAAAACUUAAUUAUAAUAAUUUAAAAAAUUUAAGCUAAAAAUUAUAAUAAAUUAAAGGUAAUAAUAUAAGAAACUUGCCUCAACUAUGGAUCAUUAUGUAUCAAUUAUCCAUCCCUUCAAAAUUUUGAUUUUAUUAUCCAGCCUUUCAAUCUUGUUUGAUAUUGAGAUAGUUAACACACACUUUGACUUUAAAAAUUAAGUUAUUAUUACUUUAAUAAAAUUAUUUUACGAGAAUUGUUAAAAUAUACUAAUCUAACCUCUAUAAAAAUAAAUUUUAACAUUGAGUCAAAGUGCUCAUGUCACAUCUGGAUUACGCAGAAGUCCGAAUAACUCAAUAGACCUACUGUAUGCACAAGGAUACAUCUUUAUACUAUACGAGCAUCAUAAAAUCAGUUUAAAACAUUUACUCAAAUCCAACAACAUUAGUAUUUAGAGUAGAAUAAAAACAUAUAUUAUAAGUAAUACUGUAAUAUACAAUCAUCACACAUCAAUCCUUAAAAUGUACAAUAUCUCUGUCGCUCUAAAAUCUUAAAACACUAUACAUGCUCCUAUAUAACCAACUACACAAACAAAAAGGAUAGAAAAUGUUAACUAUCCGCGAUCCCUUACCUAAUCAGUCACCUAUUAUUGAAGUUUUGAAUAAAAUAUUAAUAAAAAAAAGGUAUGAGAACUAAAUCAAUACUCCCACAAUGGUAUAUCAACAACCCGACGGUGUAACACCAUUAGAUUCAUAAGAGACAAAAAUAUAAUAUAACUGAGCGGUAUAAAUAACAGAAUAAUAGAAUAACAUUGAAAAUAAUUAUUGCUAUCAUAUCUCUAUAAUAUAACUGAAAACUGUAACUCAUAUAUUUUAUGCAUCAAUUAGAUAAUGAUAUAAACUGCAAUAAACCUAAUCACAGUGACCGGACUGAAUAGUCAGAUCUAGCCUGUGCUGUCUCGUGUUCAGCAUCCAGCUAUAGUGACCGCUGCCCACACUAACUGUCUGCCUCAUGUCAUAAUAAUAUCUCAUAUUCAACUUUCGGAGUGGCAUUUGUUGGCGUUAUCCAAUCGAUUAUAUAUCACUGUCAAGUUCAAAAAAGAAUGCAGACUGGCAGUUAAAUGCGAUAAUUAAACAGAUUAUAAUAAUACUAUUAAAGUCUCAAAUACAGUUUGAUCUCAUACUAUAGUGUCGCUAUCUAUUGUCUCCAAGACAAAUUACAUAAUACUAAUAUUGAAAAUAUACAUUGCUCAAUUACUCCUAUAAGUAGUGUCAAAAUUAUCACUAUUAUCCAAAUCUCAACUAUGUCUAUAGUUUAUUUUAUAUGCUAAAUAAUAUAAUAUGGAUAAAGAGUUAGUCCGCCAAUUUUGACGACACGGAGCCCAACUUUAUCGGCAAAUCUAAAGAAUAAAAUAUAGUCAAAAAACGAAAAUGAUCCGCUAUUCCUUCUAGCUAUCUAACAUAGCCACAAACACCUCAAGGCUUGAAAAGUUUUCUUGUCAAAGUCACACAAGAAUCACUCUCUAAAAUAUAUAAAAAAUUAGUUUCAAUUAUCAAUUUUACAAAAAUUAUAAAAACUCUAAUAAAUAUAAUAAUAUUAUAAUACUAACUCGAUAUUCGAAUUCUAUAAAAAAUAAGUGCGCGUGCUCACACUCGCUAGCUGCAAAAGGAAACCAAACAUGCUUGUUUUUUUUUUUUUUUCUUUCUUCCUAGCCGACUCUCUCUCUCUCUCUCUCUCUCUCUCAAAAGCUACGAACAAAAAAAGAAAAAUAAGGAUGGAGGACCCACGUGGACUCCAUACCAUAAAAAGUUAAAAUAGCAAAAAUGCUAAUAGAUUCCUCAGAAAUUAAGUAUUUUAACUUUAGUUCUCAUAAGUUAAAAUUUGAGUUUUUUAGUCAAUUUUGGCAUUUAUUUCGCACCAAAACGUCUCCAACUCAAUCAAACAAUAUAAAAAAUAAUAUAUAUUGACUAAAAAUUUUCACUGUAAUCUUGCCUACUUAUUAAGAUUCAGUAUAUCAUACGUCAUUAACUAAUUCAAAUCAAACAAAUUAAAAGACUAGACGGUAAAAUUAAAAUUUUUAAAAAAUAGAUACUCGAUCCAAAUUGGUUCUUACCCAGAUAAAUUCCGUACAUUUUUUUUUAUACCUACACUAAAAUUUAAGAAUCAAAACAAACAUAAUUCAACUUUUUUCCUUUUUGGCUUUUCCAAUCUUUAGUGUUUUUUUUCUUUUUUUUUUCCCUGAAACCAAUAAAUAAUGCCAGGGGUACUGAGAUUGUACAAUUCAACACAAACAGAGAAUCUGCUGUCAGCUGCAGUCGUCCCAGAACGAGCGCAGCCGUGCAGGUACAAAGUUCACGUGAUGUUGAAAAUCCUCCCUUACAUUUGUACCAAACCUUAAAAAAUUAAUCAACUAUUUCCUUUAUUGUUAUUAUUAAGGCUCAACUCUUUUGUCUUUUCUUCCAGAAAAAGCCAAUAUGUUUUAUCGGACAAAAAUUUUAUAAACACUGUGUCCAGAAAAAUUAAUUUGGAGAUGCCUUAGAUGGACGCCACGUGUUUCGAGCUACUUCCGGAUGGGCGCCGUGCGGCACCCAAGCCAUGCGGGGCCAUCGCUCCUGUUGCUCUCCCUACUAAGGGAGCAACAGGAUUUUUUUGGUGCACCCGGUGCACCAUUUUUUACUUAAAAAUUUUUAUUUUUAUUUUUUAAAAUUAUAAUUAAUACAAUAUAUAUAUAUAUUAUAUAUAUAGUGAGUACUAAUGCUUCGAACCACGGAGCCUUCCGUGCUUUCAGCUCCAGUGUCGAUGUUGCGACUUUGGAUCGUCGAUCGGCUCCGGUUAAAUUAAUCUAGGUUUAUGAAAUAGCUUAGAAGAAAUAAAUGUUUAUGAUUUACGAUAUCAUUUGCCUAGUAAACGAAGGGCGGCUCAAAAUCAACGCUGGAAAAUAAAAUCUUUACAAAGAUGUAGAUAUAUGAUUUAAAUUUUAAAAAUAAAGAUAUUGAUCUUGUUUUAUAUAGUUAUAAAAGAAUUUUCUAUCAAAGAUUUCACUUGUGAUUUUGGAUAUUUCACAAACGUUAAACUUGGCAAACGUUGCUCACUACGGCCAUUGAAAUUGUUGAUUUGCACCAUUUCGAUCACUAGGCAAAUGAUAUUCGAAAAUAAUAAGAAUUUUAUUUUCUUAGUACUCCAUAAUAUAUUUGAUCAAGUUUAACGGAGCCGAUCGACGUUCGAAAGUCGCAACAUCGAAAACGAGCUUGAAAGCACGGAAGGCUUCGUGCUUCCAUAGAUAGUAGCCUCUCUCUCUCUCCUCUCUCUCUCUCUCUCGUCUCUCUCUCUAUAUAUAUAUAUAGUAUAUUUAUAUAUAUAGUUUGAGCUAGAAUGUAUCAUAACAAACCGCACUUUUGCCGCCAUUGUUUUCGAUGAUGGAGCCUCCAAAUCGAGCGAUCGCACACGUUUGAAACAUAUCCUAUACUACUUGAUAUUAGAAUCAAAUUUCAAAUUCUUUUUCGACAUUUUGAGCCUAAUGACAAAGGCGUUUCAAAUUUAUAUUUUAUUAUGGUCGAUAUGAAGCCUGUUUUUCUCGUUUAACGGCGUAAGAUUGAAUUUUCGGUAGAAUCUUUAAACUAUUUAAACUAAGAUCUAUACUGCUUGAUCUUGUAUUAGCAAGACCUUCAUCAUUUUUUUAAGAAUAUUCAUUUUCAGGUUUUUUGUGUCCCUCGGAGGAUAACGGGUGAGAGCAAUAUCGAAAAUGCUAUGAAAUUUAAUUUCAAAGUAACUUCAAAUGCUAUAGAUCUAUGUCACGAUGCCGAUAUCAUCAAUUGGAGCUCCAAUCAUCGAAACAAAUGGGGGCAAAAGUGUCGGUUUUGCUAUUGAUAGUAUUCUAGCUCAACGUAUAUAUAUAUAUAUAAAUAUUAUUAUAUAUAUAUAUAUAUAUAUAUAAUAUAUAUAUUAUAUUAUAUAUAAUUAUAUUAUAUAUUUAUACUAAUAUAUAUAUAUUUUAAAAAACAUGUAAAAAAUUAUAGGAAUUCAGUGGUUCGAAAUUCUUUUUACCAUAUUUUUUUUAAAUAUCAUAGUAUCUCUAAUAUAUUAAAUUAUAAUUAAAAAUAAAAAAUUUUAGACAAAAUGUCAACCGGGUGCACUAAAAAGUCUCACACUGCUCUCUUUUUAAAGAGUAGGGCGAUGAGCCCCAUCUGGCUCGGGUGCCACAUGGCCAAUCCGGGGCGUCUCAAAUUGUCUUUAUUGUCACGCAUGUCCAUAAAAUUUUUGUCCUGUUUUACGAGUCAAUUUGAUCUUUACUUGGAAUAUAUAUAUAUAUAUAUAUAUUAUUUAUUAUUAUGUAGAGUGGAUUGGCUAUUUAGUAGCAAAAUUCCAUGUUUUAUGCUUCAAGUUUUUAGCUUUUGGAUCAACUAUUUUCAUUAUUUUAACAAUUGGAUUAAAUUACUAAUAACCCAGUAGGGACCACUCAACCCUAGGGGACCAUCAACUCUUACCGGACUAAUAUCAUCCCACUCUAUAAUUUCUUCAUUCCAAGGUUAAAAUUUAAAGUAAAAGAGCGUCUACUAUUAAUGUAUUCAGGCUAUUUAUAUAUGUUUAUAUACAUAAUCUAUACUUUAUAUGAAUCCCAAAAAUUGGUAAAAUGAUGACGUGGCAAGCUACACAUUUUUUUGGUAUUUUACGGUUUCUUUCCCGAUUCCCAAAUGCUAACCCUUCACCGUCUCCACAUUUAAUUAAAUACUCAUAUGUCACCAAUACGUUUUUCUCCAUUCAAAUGCUCAACCUUCACCACUCACAUUUAAUAAAUGCAUUAAUAUUACAGCCAAUUAUGUGAGCUUUGUAACUCCAAUCCAGUCCCCUCCAACUUAUCCCACCCACCCUUUUUUUUUGCAUGACAUGUUAUUUUUUCAUGCAAAGAUAUUAUCAUCUUAAUCUCUCACCCACACUCAUCUCCUUCUCUCUAUUCUCAUUGUGUUAAAAGAUUAUGAGGAUGAUGAGAAGAAGCAUACGAGGACGUGUCUCCUUCAAGAAGUAUUCGUUGGUAAGUCCAGUCGCGCCCUAUAAAGUGCUCGCCGGCCGGUCUGUGUCGCGAGCCGGACUCGCAGGUGAACCGCCACUCACUCGGCUGCUCCGCGGGCUCAUAAUGCGCGCGCGCCACAACUGGGCAGAGGAGCGGCGUCACAUAGCCUCCUCUUCUGCUUGGGAUGUUGCCGGGGAGCCCUUCUCAAGAACGCUAGGAACUUCUGAUAAUUCAAAUGUUAAGAAUUGGAUUUCUUUAGUGGUUGAUGUUUGAUGGCCAAGGCUGUGUCGAUUUAGAAUAUCACAGUUUGGUGAUGCAGUGAGCGUGUUAUUUCAUUAGGUUACAAUGAAAAUCAUAGAAGUGACUCGGCGCAUGGGAAGCAGACUACCAACUGAAGCAAUUAAGAAGAUGUAUGAGAUUGGAUGAGUAAAACGAAAAUGCUCCAAAAAAGUAUGUAGUUUUUUAGGAUUGAUGUUUGUUUUAUUUAUCUUAUGACCAUUUUUUUUAGUAGCACUGUUGUGGGCAAAAUUCCUUCGUAGAUUAAAAAGGUAUGAUGUGGAGACAUGGAGCCUUGAGACCCCCACCAAAUUUUCUUAAAGCAGAUAGUUAAGUUAUUAUUUAUGUAUUUCAUAUGCUUCUAGCUAUAAUUUUAUGUUUUUUAACAAUUUGAAUUUAGUCAUGCCAAAUUAACUGUGCUUCAAUGUAUAUUUAUAUAAGCUAUAAAUAAAUUUAUUAAAUUUUAAAAAUGUUCUAUUAUCUACCACGCUGCAAUCGCGCGGUCUCUAUACAGAUAUAUAUAAUUAUUAUAUAUAUAGAUUAUAUAUAUAUAGAGAGAGAGAGAGAGAGAGAGAGAGAAAGAGAGAGAGUAAGGUUACUUUACUCUUAUGAGUAUUGCGCCCUUCGUACUCAUAAAUUGUUUUCGAUAAUGGAGCUUCCGAAUUGAUGAUCCACUCCAUUAAAUAUGAUCUAGAGUAUUUAAAACUUCUAGAAAAUAAAUUUCGUAAUUUUUCGAAAUCAUAAUAAGGUCCAUCAAGCGGGCAUAACAUGAACGGUCGAAAUCGAACGACGUCCUAAAAAUGGAUGAUCGGAUCCUUCAAUUUAAGAUCGGAGUUAUUGAUCUUUAUCUAGAUAGUGAAUAGAAUUUUCUAUCAAAAAUUCAACCUAUUUCAAUUCUUUUACACCGUUAAAUUAGCAAAUAUUCCAUACCGGCUGUUAAAAAUUAUUAAUUUUAUGAGCUUUUGAUCGUAAGGUAAAUGAUGUCGGAAAAUUAUGAAAUUUGAUUUAUAGAAGUUUUAAAUGUUCUAGAUAAUGUUUAACAGUAUGGAUUGUCGAUUCGGAAGUUCUAUCAUCGAAAACAACUUAUAAGUAUGAGCGCGAUCGUACUCAUAAAAGUAUAGUAGCCGGACUAUAUAUAUAUAUAUAUAUAUAUAUAUAUAUAUAUGUUGAAAAAAUUUCGCACAAAAAAAUUCGAUUGUGAUUAAAAUUUAAUUAAUUUUAUGAUGAAAAUAAAUAAAUCAACUUAUAGAUAAACGUAAAUAUUUUAAUAAAGAUUUGAUUUUAUUUGGAAGCGUGCGAGGCACUAUCUUAUGACGUAUUUCCGUCCUUACGUGCAGGAUUAACCAAAUACCACAUCCCAAAGUACGAUCGGAAUUCCUCCUCCUACAAGCACGAUCAUGAAGAACGCUGUCGGAGAUUCUUUAGAAUAAUAAAAGAUAAAAAAAAAAAGAGUAGAUAGAUUAAUCAAUUAUCUGAUAUCUUUCAACUUACCUCUGUCUUGACAAAGGAGAAAAAGAAAUGGCAUAAAAAAAAAUCACGCUUUUUCUCCUUACGAGAAAGAAGCGGGACCAGCGCAACAGAAUGAGAUUCCGUUUGGCGAAAGAAACGAAACGUAAAAAAUAUUUCGUUAGUUUCUUUGUCACUAAAAAAGAAAAUAAAAUAAAAUAAAUAAAAUAAUAAAAAUAAUAAAUAAUAACUAUUAAAUAAAUUUAAAAUUCAAAUAGAAUAAAUUCAAAAUUUUUAUUAAAAAAUUUUAAUUAUUAAUUCAAAUUUGAUAUCAAAAAUUAAAUUUACUUUACGAUUUAAACUCAAAUUUUAAUUUUAAUGUAAAAUAAAUGGAUAGGAAUGUUAUUUUUAAAUAAAUUGAUUAUAACCGUUUAUUUUUAUUUGAGAUAUUUUUUAACACGUAAAAAAUAUAGAGAAUAUUCUUUUAUUCCUUUUUAGAUUUCUUUAUAGAUGGAUAAGAGUUUACUUGGGCUUCGAGAAGAGACUAAGGUGAUGACCUUAGUGGAAUGGUGAAGCUUCUGAGCAUGGGUUCACGACAAUAUGUAUGGAAAUGGAGUUGAGAGUAACCCCCUAGUGGUGAAUUGAGAUUGAUGUUGAGGCAUUGUGGUGCAAUGCCGGUUGAUGAACCAAGUAAUCACCCUUGAUGAGCGAAUUGGGAUGAUUCGUCGGUUCCCAUUCUUUUCGGCAGGGAUGUUACCAUGGAUAGUGAUCGUAGAAUUGCUUCAUGCCAAUCAAGAUUGGAUGAAUGGUGGGAUGUUGCAAAUAGCGACAAGAUGGAAAAUUUACACCAUACUUAACCUUGGAAUAGGAUUGCACUUAGUGGUGCAAUCUAGUGAUGAGAGAUGGAUUUGAGUGAUCGUCGUUAGGAUUGAGUCGACGACUGGAUGUGGCAUCGCCUCCCUUUGGUGAGUGUCAAUCAGUUGAGCACCCCGGUAGGGUUUUGAUGGAUUGAGUAACGGGUGUAACCCCAAGAUUUUUCUAUAGAUGGCAUUGUUGAAUCCGCCUAAAAAAGAUAUCUGAUGGAAUUCCAUAUAUAAGAGUAAGACAAAACAGAGCUAGGCUUUGCCCUCAACUUGGAUGAGGAAAGUGAGAUAUGGACUUUAGCCUUCGGGAGCACGUGGAUUCGUGAGAACCAACUGAAGGGCUUAAGCAAGCGCGGAUUUGAGACGGAGUUCCUGGUUGGAGACCAUGUUUCCUUGAAGGUCUCACCGACCAGAGGGAUCAGGAGAUUUAGGACUCGGGGAAAGUUGAGCCCCCGGUUUAUUGUACCGUAUGAGAUCUUGGAGCGUGUGGACCCGAUAGCAUAUCGACUUGCUCUACCACCGAACCUAUCAAGCAUACACAACAUCUUUUAUGUAUCGGUCCUUCGGAAGUGCAUCUUCGACCCGGCUCAUGUAUUGGAUGCUACACCUAUAGAGCUACGGGAUGAUUUGAGUUUUGAGGAGCAACCCGUGAGGAUUUUCGCUCGCGAGGUGCGGAAGCUGCGGAAUCAGGAUAUUCUGUAUGUGAAAGUUCUUUGGAGCAACCACGAGGAGCGGAAGGCCACGUAGAAGCUCGAGAGCGCUUUACAGGAGCGCUAUCCCCAUCUCUUUCAGAUGGAGUUUUGAGGUACGUUGCGUUUGAGUUUCGCGGACGAAACUCCCUUUUAGGAGGGGUGAUUUUAACACACUGGACCUUUGCAAAUUACGAGGUUCGAGUGUUUGAUCAGAGUUUUUUCAGAUAUUCUGGAGGGUUGUUGACAGUGUUCCGACCUAUGGCUCGUAUCCCGAGAAUUAAGAUAUUUAAAGUAGCGCUAAGGUUAUCAAAGUGGAGGACUUAAGCUGCUCUCGGGUUACUUUUUGCAGAAAAGUGUAUCGGUACACCUUGAUGGUUGUACCGGUACAGAAAGUAUACCGGUUACACCUUGAUGGUUGUACCGGUACAAAUGCGGUGAUUGGCCAACCCGAGGCUCGGGUUUGUGUGUUCGAGGGAUUUGUACCGGUACACUUUUUCGUGUACCGGUACACUUUGGCAGACUGCAAAAUGACGAUUUUUCGGGAGUGUAUUUGCAUUGUGGCUUAUCUAUAAAUACCCCCACAGCCCCCUAGCAGCUCUUUUGACCCCUAGAACGUGGAAGAGUUGAGGUGAGCCCUCUCUUUAAUCUUUCCUCUAUUUUGGCUUGGGUUUAGCUAGUUUUGAUCCUCUUUCUUCUUCUCUUUGCUAUAUGUUGGAAUUUCACCAUUGGAGAAGCUUUGUACUCUUGUUGGAGCUUAGUAAAGGAUCAAUCUUCAACCCUAGUGGAGUCUAGGUUUGGUUUGGAGCACCUUGUGAGGUUAAUACUCUUGAUAUCUCUUUUGGAUCAAGUUUUGGAGGAUUUUUGUUAAAUGAAACCCUAGAAUGAAUAUUAGGGUUAGAAAUGGAGAUUUUUGAUUAGUAGCUUAUGGAAUCAAAUUGAUUGGUUUAGAACCUUGGUUUAGGUUAGAUUUGAAGGCCUCUACCUCCCUUUUGGAGAUCGAGAGAGGUUUCUUCGCAUUCGGUGAGUUUUCCACUUUUUCUUGAGUUGGUUAAUGAUUGAACUAUAGGUUGUUCAUUCGAUGUUUGUAACUCUCUUUUCUAUACUUUUAGGGUGAUAGGAGAGUAGUGGGCACCUUCGUCGGCUCGAACAAAGGGUUGCGAGAGUUACGGUGGAUUUGACUUCAUGGAAUAGAGGAGAAAUGUCUCCUAUGUGAUUUAUCCUUGUCGUUUCAUCGAAAUGUAUGCAUAUUCAUGCUAGAUAGAAUUUUUAUGAAUUUUAGAGUACUUAAAAUGCAUGUGUUAUGUAUCGUGAAAAUUUGACUCUAUAUAGUAGAGCCAUAUGUAUAAAAAGUAUGCAUGUGAAAAGUAUUCUUUAUUACAAGUUGGAAAUAUUUCUCAUGUGAUGAAAAUGAUUAGAAUUAUGUACUCUUGAAUAUAAAACUCAUGCUUGGACUUAGUGGACAAAAGUGCCAUAAAGGGGCACUCAAAUUAGAAAACUGUGAAACUGCAAUAUAGAGACAUAGUGAUAGGCCAUUGUGAUAUCGGCUACAUUUCAUGUUUUAGACAUGAUGACGUAGUAAUAGGCCAUUGAGAUACUUGCUACAUUCCAUGUUUUAGACAUGAUGACGUAGUGAUAGGCCAUUGAAAUACUUGCUACAUUCCAUAUUUUAGACAUGAUGACUUGGGACUUGAGACGGAUUUUUCUGCUUGCUUGCCAUUGUGCUCAUUCGUACAUGUUUGUGAGGGUCGCUCUGUAAGAAAAUCAUGUGUACGCAGCGGAAGAAAAUAACACAAUUAAAAAUUUUCUUGAAAAUCAAAGAUCACCUCGUGUUUCAUUUUAGAUCAUUAAUAAUAGAUCUAAUUGAUCUAAUCAAAUAGGAUCUAUAUUAUUUUAUUUUACCUCGCGCGGGUCGAGAUCACCGCGAAGUCGACAAUCGUUGGUAAAAUUUGUUCGUCCUCGGUUAGCCGCGCACGCGCCCGGCCUCUACUCGCGUCCACACGAAAUCACGCCCUUGAUCGAAUUAGACGACCGCUUCAAUCCGUGAUCCGAUCACGAAUUAAUCUCUUGCGUCGACUUGAGGAAGAUGAAUCAAUCUUCUAGAUGUGCUAGCAACUUUUGAAGAUCGAAAUCGAUGGAUUUAUUGUGGAGGACUUAAGAAAGAAAAAGGAUUGACGGCUAGGGUUUUCUUUUUCCUUUUUACUUAAUUUUUCAUUAAUUUUAAUAUGUCAUAUGACAUAUAUUUAUAAUGAGAAAACCCUAACGUAAUCCUAAUCGAAAUCCUAUUCCGAUUUGAUUAUCCAUCAACCCGCAAGUUUGUUAUGAUAUUAACCGAAUUCCGAAUCCUAAUUCUAAUUCGAUUCGUGUGUAACAUUUACACAUAAGUCCUCAUAUUAUUUACUAACGAUUAGUAAAUACACCAUGCAACUUUUACACAUAAAUACCUCUAAUUUACAACAAUUGCAAAUUAGUCCUUUUACUAAUAAAUUAGUAAACUUUAGUAUUUAACUAUAUUAUAAUUGUAAUUAAUCCAUCUGAUAAACUUCUUUUAUCGUUUCCUAAAUAUCGAUCAUGCGCGAUUUCUUAUGUGUGUGACCUAAUAGGUUCAAUUCUGUCUGGUAGUGAGAUAUGAUGCGAUCUCCAUCUACAUCAUCAUCGAAACUCCUUUCGAUGGCUCAAACUCUUUUGACUCUACCCUAAUAGAAUAAUUAAUUAUUAAUAAUUAUUUCUAUUGGUUCCCACAAUCCACCAGUGACGCCUAGCAGCAUGUAGUGGCAAUCCAGUCAGAAGUGAAUAUCGGACUGAACCUCUAGGUGCAGUUACCGUACAAUACAAUCCUUCUAUCGCAUAGUUCCAACUGAGUGGAGGUCAUGGAAUAUUCGUCAAACCCCAUCACCCGUCAUAUGACAAAUUUGAUCAGACAGAAGCUCUUAUGGUUACUCUUGGAAACAUCUUUCCAUACACCAUAUUACCCCGGCCGAGGAUUUCUGAGCUUUGCCUUACAAAUAGCAUAGAACUAAUUAUCUCUCUACCGAGAGCGAUAGAUCCCCUAUAAACACACACCCAUUCCUGAUAUGAACCGACUGCAGCCAACAUAUACUACUAAGACCCAUGGCUAGGAUCAGAGUUUGUUGCAUAGUCAAACUACAGUAGCCUCAUAUUGAAUGACCGUGGUGUCGCAGGUCUAAGGAUCAGUUGUACCACUGCAACAUCGAACCAGUUACUGACGAAUGAGUAGACAUCCAUGUAACUGUUCGUAGUUGGUCACGCUCAGUACCGUUGUUCUCCAACAACCACCUGCAUGUUCGCUCCAGUGUCCCCACACUGAUGACUCGAGAUUCGUCAUCCCAAAAGGGAAGCGGCACACACAUCAAUCUUACCGGAUCAAUCAUCGUCCCCAUGAUGAUCCUCCGAUUGAGAGCAUUUAUGAAUUAAUCACCAAUAAUAUGUAUCUCAAAUUCUCAACUCUUGAGAAUACAUAUUAUCAUCUUAUUAAUUCAAAGGACGAUUCAUGGACACAUUUAACAUGAAUGGAAUAAAAGGCCCAAUUAUAUAAAUAAUAAAGAUUAAGUACAAAAAUAUGUCCCAUAGAAAAUAAAAUGCGUCAGCCUGAUAGGCUUCUAGGGCAUACAACUAACAAUCUCCCACUUGCACUAAAGCCAAUCAGCCAUGUAUCUAAUGCCCAUCUUCUCAAGAUGAUUCUCAAGUUUCUGCUGAGUCAAUGCCUUAGUUAGCGGGUCCGCCACAUUAUCCGUGGAGGCAACCUUCUGCACUUCAAUAUGUUUAUCCUUGAUGUACUCUCUGAUCUUGUGAUACCGCCGCUCAAUGUGCUUGGAUUUCUGAUGAGACCUUGGCUCUUUAGCUAAUGCUACGGCGCCAUUAUUAUCACAGUAUAGUGAUAGGGGAUCCUUACUAGAAGGAACCACGCCAAGCUCAGCGACAAAUUUCUUGAUCCAAACAGCUUCCUUGGCAGCUUCAGAUGCAGCGAUGUACUCCGCUUCCAUAGUAGAAUCUGCAAUCGUCUCUUGCUUGGAACUUUUCCAAACUAUUGACCCACCAUUGCAAAUAAACAGAUACCCAGACGUAGACUUUCUAUCGUCUAUAUCAGACAUAAAGUCCGAAUCCGCAUAGCCAUUAAUUCUGAGUUCUCCUCCUCCAAAAACCAAGGACAUAUCCUUUGUUCUUCUCAAGUACUUAAGGAUAUUCUUUACCGCUACCCAAUGUUCCUGUCCUGGGUUCGACUGAUAUCGGCUCGUGACACUCACAGCCUGUGCUAUAUCAGGUCGAGUACAUAGCAUCGCAUACAUUAAGCUCCCUAUUGCUGAAGCAUAAGGGAUCCUGCUCAUGUGACUUCUCUCUUCAGGUGUCUUAGGAGACAUAGUCUUAGAGAGGUGAAUUCCAUGUCUUAGAGGUACCAUACCCCUUUUGGAAUUCUCCAUGCUGAACCUUUUCAGCACUUCAUCUAUGUACAUAGCUUGCGAUAAACCAAGCAACUUCUUAGGUCUAUCCCUAUAGACCUUUAUCCCUAGGAUAUAAGAUGCUUCUCCAAGGUCUUUCAUAGAAAACUCUUUAGAUAACCAUAACUUGACCGAUGUUAGCAUAGGAAUGUCAUUCCCAAUCAGGAGUAUGUCAUCCACGUACAGUACGAGGAAAGUAACAGCACUCCCACUAAUCUUUUUAUAUACACACGGCUCUUCCUCAUUUCUGAUGAAAUUGAACGAUUCAAUUGCAUCAUUGAAACGAGUGUUCCAACUCCGAGAAGCUUGCUUCAAUCCAUAAAUGGAUCGUUGAAGCUUGCACACCUUAUGACUCUCAUCUUUGGAAGUGAAACCCAAAGGCUGCUCCAUAUAGAUAUCUUCUUCAAGAUAUCCAUUUAGGAAGGCAGUUUUCACAUCCAUUUGCCAGAUCUCAUAGUCAUAGUGUGCAGCAAUAGCAAGCAGAGUUCUGAUAGACUUAAGCAUAGCUACGGGUGAAAAGGUAUCCUGAUAGUCAAUGCCUUCGCGUUGACUAUAACCUUUUGCUACUAGCCUAGCUUUAUAGGUCUCUACCUUUCCAUCAGAACCAAUCUUUCUCUUAAAGAUCCAUUUACAUCCAAUAGGUACAAUACCCUCCGGUGGAUCAACCAAAGUCCAUACUUGAUUGGAGUACAUUGAGUCCAUUUCGGACUUCAUAGCUUCCAACCAUUUAUCGGAGUCGAUGUCUGACAUCGCCUCGCUAUAAGUCUUAGGAUCAUCUCUAUGGUCCUUAUCUCCCAUUAGGAACAUUUCCUCCAUCUCCUCUAUAAAUAAUCCCAUGUAUCUAUCAGGAGGACGGGAGACCCUACUAGACUUGCGAGGUGGCGGUGUAACUUCAAGUGUCACAGAGUUAUCAGGGAGGGCUCUUGGAAUAUUUGAUUCUAAAGAGACUUUCUCCUCUAGUUCUAUUUUUCUCCCACUGCCUCCAGCCAAAAUAAAUUCACUUUCAAGAAAGAAGGCAUGACGGCUCACAAUCACAUUAUGGCCUUCUGGGAGAUAAAAAUAGUAUCCAAGUGAUUCUUUGGGAUACCCAAUGAAUCUACCCUUGACUGAUCUGCUUUCCAACUUGUCCGUCUUUAAUUUCUUAAUAUAAGCUGGACAUCCCCAAGUUUUAAUAUGAGUAAAACUUGGCUUCCUACCAUGCCACAUCUCAUAUGGUGUGGUCGGAACAGAUUUGGAAGGCACUCUGUUUAGAAUAUAAAUAGCCGUAAGAAGUGCGUAACCCCAAAACGAUAUAGGUAAAUCUGUAAAGCUCAUCAUGGAUCGAACCAUAUCUAAUAAAGUUCGAUUUCUCCGUUCAGACACCCCAUUCAAUUCUGGUGUUCCAGGAGGAGUCCAUUGAGAGACAAUACCAUUAUCCUUGAGAUAGGUUAGGAAAUCCGUACUAAGGUAUUCCCCUCCUCGAUCUGAUCGAAGAGCCUUAAUUGGUUUUCCCAUUUGCUUUUCUACUUCUUGUCUAAACUCUUUAAACUUUUCAAAGGCUUCAGACUUGUGUUUAAUUAAGUACACGUACCCAUACCGUGAAUAAUCAUCAGUAAAGGUAAUGAAGUAGAGAUAGCCACCCCAAGCAGACACAUCGAAUGGUCCACAUACAUCAGUAUGUAUUAGGGCGAGUACUUCAGUAGCUCUCUCUCCUUGUCCAACAAAAGGAGACUUAGUCAUUUUUCCUUGAAGACAUGAUUCACAAGCUGGGUAUGGUUCAGAGGGUAAGGACCCUAAGACACCAUUCUUAGCCAACUUGUUAAUCCUAUCUUCUCCAAUGUGACCAAGUCUAAGAUGCCACAAAUACGUUUUAUUUACCUCCUCUCUUGGUCUUUUGAAACCAAUGAUAUUCUCAUUCAUGCCAUUAUCAAUUGUAUUAACACUAACAUCCAUAUGUAAGUGAUAGAGAUUGUCAAUUAAAGAACCAUAACCGAUCAAAUUAUUUCUCAAAUAAAUUGAACAAACGUUUGAUUCAAAAAUAAACUUAUAACCAUCCAUUACCAAACGUGAAAUAGAAAUAAGGUUUCUAGUCGCACUAGGAACAUAAAGACAAUCUCUAAGUUCUAAAACUACUCCUGUCGGUAGACAUAAAGGAUAAGUCCCCACGGCAACAGCAGCAACUCUUGCUCCGUUUCCAACGCGUAGGGUAAGCUCUCCAUCCUUAAGUCUUCUACUUUGUUUUAGCCCUUGCAUUGAAAUACAUAAAUGCGAGGUGCAUCCAGAGUCAAUGACCCAUGUGAAAGUAGAACAAACCGAUAAGUUAGUAGUUUCAAUGACAUGAAUCUCAGACAUCUUAGCCCUGCACAGUCGCUUCGACACCUCGUAGCGAGCUGUUCGACUUUCUUCAUCAUACAACUCCUUGAGAUGAAGUAGAAUAUCAGCAGCACUCUCCAUGUGCUCAUGCUGGCGUUGCAACUCAUUGCUCAUAGACGCAAGCAUGUAACAUUUUACCUUCAUAUCGUCAUCAGUCCAUUUAUUUCUUGCAGCUGUUUGUUGAGCCGUCGAAUUUUCGGGCACCGCUGGAGCCUCCGUGUCCAACACAUAGGCUAGUUUCUCAAAAUUGAGAACAAUUCUCAAUUUCCUCAGCCAAUCGGUGAAAUUCGGUCCAGUUAAGCAAUUAAUAUCAAGUAUUUUGGCAAGUGGGUUAGAUGCAGCCAUUUUCUGUAGAAGGUUAAGAUUCUAAUUAGUUGUGUACUUAAUCAUAAUCCAUUUGAUUAGGGUCUUUAAAUCUAAAUGGUGCCUCCCACUAAUUUUGGCGAAUCUCCACACUCCCCGAGCGGAGAAAACGGAAACUUUACUUAAAAGUUUCUAGUGGGUAUUGCGGUCCCAUCUGUUUACACACCACCUCAUCCUGACAGAUUCUUGGCAAUGAGCAAACAAAUAAGUGAACAACUCUUGUUCAAUGCUUCUCAAGCAAAUUGCAAUCUAAUCCUUGGCCUCCAUAAGAUAUAGGCCUCAUCCUGACAGAUUCUUGGCUUUAUCUCGUGGUUAAGUUAGACCCACCGUUCAUCGUGCAAAUAAGAAUGUCAUUGAAUCCUCAUCCUGACAGAUUCUUGGAUCCAACCCCUUUCUUACCGCACAGCAUCUCAUGCCAAUAGAAUGGUUGCGGCUCCCUAAUGCAACUGACCCCCGUAUCCGGGUGCAUCAAUCAACACUAAAGAGACGCCCACACCCUACAACGGUGGAAGGCCACUAAUGGGUUCAUAACACCAUUAACUUAAUAUUUUAUUUAGGGAGAUUAGUUGUCUCAUCAGUUUUAAUUUAUUAUUAAUUUACAUCUCAUGCAAACCAUCACAUCACAUGCAUACAUACAUCGCAUAUAAAAAAAUAACUACCGGUGAUGAUCAUGGAUUUUAUCUUGAUUCGGGCCUGAGCCACUAGGCCGGAAUCGGGUCAUAAGGGUAUUACACACAAGAAAACCUUUUCUUAUUCUGCGUCUCGAUCGGAUUUGAGUUGAUCAACUCUUGUCUUCUCCCUUGAUCAGCAUCUGGUCCAAACUUGAUCCGCAUCGCAUCAACUCUUGAAUACAACGAAUCCCUCUGGAACCUAAACUACCCUUUUGCCUUCUUAAUUUUACAACAAUAACUUUACAACCCAUAAAAUUAAUGAGACACGCAGGUCUCCAAAUUACAUAAUUUAAUUGGCACGCGCAGGCACCAAAAUAUAUAAUCUAAUACUGGAUCCUUAUUAAAUUACAAAAAUUCACAUCAUCACAUGAUACAUGCACAUCACAAGAUCGCUAUCCAUGAUCAUCACCUCAUAUACAUCACAUGCAUAUAAUAACAAAUUCUCUAAUUCGAAUUCUAAUUAAUUGGGUUUCGGAUUAAUUUAAAAUAAAUCUUUAUUUAUUUCAAGAAUCGCAAUUUUCGUAAAAUUAUUACAAAAGAUCUAAUACAUCUUAUGUAUUAAAUUUUAAAAUUUAAAACUAA